UUAGAGAUAGAAAAGAUGAUGGGCUGCUUCCACAGCUGAGAUAUGAAAAAGGCUUCUCCAACAAGUCUCAAGAUUUCUCUUAGAUCAGUAAGACUGCUUUUUUGAAUCUAAUAACAUUAUGGCUUUGGUUGCAACAAAUCUAAAAAAAUAUUUUAGAAUUUUUUCAGGAAUCCACACUUGAUUUAAUUAGAAGAUGGUGAUAAUUCUUCCUAAAAUGAGAAAUUUACGUCAUUUUCCAUCACAGUGCAGUUUAUCAACAUAAUCACUUAUUUGAAUUAGUACUAAACACUUUUUGGUAACCGGUAAAGUCGUUUUGUCAAAUCAGGCCACCUUAAAAGGGUGAGUGUGCAGUUUAACUUUGAGUUUGAGUCUUAAGAUGGUAAGCUUAUAUUGUAAGUUCAUAGGACUACUGUUAUCAAUAACUAGUUUGCAUGAUCGCUCUCCACAUUUAUGAAAGUUAUGAAAAUACUAGUUCGCUUCGAUUCAUCAUCUUCUAUCCGAGGCAACACACGUCUUACAAUGUUAGCAUUGUGUGCAAUAACCUCAAAACUAUCAUCUUCUUCAUCACUUGAGUACUUUACGAGGUGGAUUUUUUGGUCCUCUUAUUCUAGUGGGACAUGGCAUUCUUGUCCUGAAGUUUGGGCAUAGUGAGGGCAACAAGAGGCAAUAUGUCCUCAUUGUUGACAGUUAUGAUAUUAUAUGGAUGACCCACAAGUUUCAAUGAGAGAGCCCCUAGAACGAGGAGCAACAUAAUUGGGGAUAGGAGUCCAUUGAUAAAUAAUUGAUAAACCAAUUGCCUCUUAUAGUAGGUUGGUAAGUACUUUUCUUUAAGCUUCUGUUUCAUACCAUGCCACACUCACGAUUAAGUUGGAUAACUUGCCACAGCUUUCUAGUUGACUCACUCAAUUUAUUUUGACAAAUCAGGCUCUUUCUAUAUUAGUCAUUGUUACGGACACAUGUAUAGAGUUUAAAUAAGAAGUUGAAGUUCAAUUAAAUAUGUAAUUCUUAUUAGUAUUUAAUUUCUAAAUAAUAAACAAAAAAUUUUAAUUAGUAUUAGAUUUUUAAAUUACAUAUGAUUUUCCAUUAAUAUUGCAUUCAUAAAUAGUAUAAUAUUUUGCAAUAUUUUAGUAAAGUAUUUUUAAUUAGAUUUUAGAUUCUGAAUUAAAUUAAAAUUACUAAGUAAGAAUUGUAACCUUUAUAGAAAAGAGUAUGCUUGCUAUUAAUAAAAAUAAAUCAGAAUAUUGUCUUAAACUAUGAGAUUUGAACUCUCUCUGACAAGGUCCAAGUUAGCAGCAGAAUAGUAAGUCACUUAAGAAAAUGCAAUAAGGAGAAAAAGCAGAUUUUGAAACAAGAAAUUCUAGAGAACCACCUAGUGAGAAGAUUCUGGUUUCGGGAACAUGAGAAUCAUCUAAUACUGCUCAAAAUAGUCUUCCAUGCUAACUGGCCAAUCUAGGAAGACAUCAGGAUCUAGUUUAUCAUCGUAGCUAGCAACAUCUACCUUGACUUGCUUAAUAAUGUUGGAAAGAGUCUCAGCUUUAUAUCUAGAUUAUC
rnacentral:lncRNA from 1 species